rnacentral:lncRNA from 7 species
AUUAAAUGUUAAUUAGGGAGUGCCAUACACCUGGUGCUUGGAGAGCAGCUCCAGGAGCAGUAGGAAAGAAAAAAACGGUUAGCAGGGAGGCAUCAUUUGGUGCAACAGUAUGCAUAAACAAGGUUUAGAAAUGCUGCGUUACAGCUGCGUGAACUGCCUGGGAUUGUAAAGCACUGCGCUUGAGUUACUCCUUUUUGGAAUUCUCAAGCUGAGCUCUUCAGAAUCCUCAAGGGAUCGUACUCCUGCUGUUUCCUCAGAGAGCCUAAGAAUGGAGAAAUCCAGCUCCUGGAAAGGGUCCGAUCUGCAGACAUUAAGAAACACUGAAGACUUUUAUUUACAGACCUUGCUUUACAAAAUUAAAUCCAGCUCUGCACGAAGGCCUCAUGACUGGCCACCACUUCAAGAUCUACACUGAGAACAAAGUAGCAGAAUUAUUAUUCUUUCCUGCCUUACUGAAAUCCAAUUCAACAGGUGCUGAACUUAAGAAUUAGAAACUCAUGUGACCCAACAGAAUGUGAAAUCCAUGGCUUGUGAUCUACGAACGUAUAAAAAGUGUGUUUUCAUGGUCACUGGAGUAAAAAUAAGCUGGAGCCAUACACUCAGGGCAUGCUCUUGCUCUGGGGUAUUAGACAUAGACACAUGCAAAAGCUGGUUACUGCUUUGUAAAGUUUGAUCCCAUCACAAAGUAAAUUCCAAAGUGUAUUUUUUAUAUCAUAGAAUCACCAGAAUCAAAGAAACAGUACUCUUUGUCCCUUUCCUCUCUAGAAAAGUCUUUCAGACAUCUCUAUACAAACUCUUUCAGAAUGAGAGUGUAUCAUCAGUGACACAGAGUUGCUUAGCUUAAGAUCAACCCCCAUAAAAGGAUCCAGGGAAAUGACACUGUAAAAAGCAAUAUUGUAUGAAAUGAUUUUUAUUAGGAAUUAAAUCUUUUUU